CUGCUGAGUUGAAGGGAUCCUCCUGUCAGAAAACCUCUCCAAAGUACAAUAGGACUAGGUUCCCACUACAAGGAUUAGAUUUGGCUACUGCAGUCCCGGUUUAGGCCAGCCUCACUUGUGAAGACUAAAGAUGAAGACAACAUACAAGAAAAAUUUAGAGGAUGGCGACACACUUUUUAUUCCACCUAUAUAUCUCCUUUUAUGUGUAAGCAACAUUCCGCAAGAUUAAACAAAACUAAACGACA